UGGGCAACAUAGUGAGACCUGUCUCUAUAAAAAACUUAAACCUUAACCUGGCAUGGUGGUGUACACCUGUAGUCCCAGCUGCUUGGGGGAUGGAAAUGGGAGGAUCACUUGAGUGCAGAAGGUUGAGGCUGAAGUGAGCCACGGUCAUGCCACUGCACUCCAGCCUGAGAUUCCAUUAAUUAUAUUCCAUUCUUUCCACUUUGAUAUCUCAUUAAAAUCUUAUAAAUGAUCAUGCAGUGACCUUGAAGGCUAUGCAUAAUACAUGAAAGUAAACCUGCAGUAAAAUGUAUUCUUUCACUCCUGACUGGCUACAUCCCACGCUUCUUUUCCUCUCCCAAGUGACUCCAAUUGGGAGAGCUCUGCAAGAAUGAUAUUUCUGAAUAUAUGGGAUGUCUUCAUAAGCUUUUUAAAGUUAUGUUUCAACAAAAUGCACUUCUAUGGCAGAUAAGUAAAAUGCACAAGGUGUGUAUUUAUGAAGGUUUCCUUAUUGAAUAAAAGUUCUGCUGAGCCACAUUUAUUGCACUGAGCAUCAUCUGAAAUGGACAUGGUUUUGCACAAAGUGAAAUCCUAUCAGUUGGCACUGGGUGAUUUUCCCAGCAGAUUUACUGCAUUUUACUUUAUGUAUUUGUAUGUUUAUUUGGAGAUUUGGUUUUUUGAGUCAUAUUCUUCUUACAUUUUAAUGAAAUUGAAUAAAAGUGGAAACAUAGAAAUUCCUCUUAAGACAUU
rnacentral:lncRNA from 1 species